rnacentral:lncRNA from 1 species
UGAUGCAAGAAUUCAUAUGGGAUUACGCAAUCCGGGGGUGAGUGACUGACGCAACAUAGUCGUGAACUAGCCUAGUUAGGCUUAUCAUGUACAGUACUGUCAUGAACUAUGGAUCACACGCCACAUGAUUCCCCUCGCUACCACAAAUCCGUCGCUUCUGACUGUGCAUCGUGCGGAGCUCAAACGAUCGAGUUAUGAUUCAAUUACUUAUUUGCAACAAUCUGAAACUUAUAGGGGCAAAAUGGUCCUGAACAUUCCCAACUGCAUAUCAGCUACCAACUUUCCAGAAUCAUAAAUCAGUCCCAAACUUUACAGAAAUUACAUACGAUCACUUAUCUUUUCCAGACUUGCAGUUUGAUCACCAAACUUCACCCACAUUGCGAGAAGGUAACCGAACAACACCUAUGUUGUUGGGUAGCCACCCUUAUUCUCUGGCGAACCCAGUUUCCGCCGGUGAGCUCUACCCCGAUUCUGGCGGGCUCCAACUUACCGGGAUCCGCGUCUUCUCGCCGCCGAUAAGUUCGUCAAUUACCCCGAACCACCUAUGUGCAUCCAUCGCCGCGCCUGAGUCCACCACGCACCUCCAUGCGCCACCGGUGGUUGGAUCUUCCUCCCCCGCGUCCAGAGCCGCCGCCUAGCAAAAAGAACAACCAGAGUCGUCGCUGCCGUUAGGCUUUCCUUGAGUCUCGGCUGCGGCAAGGUCUCCUCCCAUCUUACCCGAAAAGAGGUCGUCGCCUAGCCAGGAUCGAGCUACCUCCACCAACGAGAUGCCGCAGCCGUCAACUCCCCCGCUCUGUUCGCGUUGUAGGUUAGGGUAAAGAGGGAGAU